rnacentral:rRNA from 1 species
CGAAAGCCUGACGGAGCAACGCCGCGUGGGGGGAGGAAGGCUCUAGGGUUGUAAACCCCUUUUCUUUGGGAAGAACAAAAUGACGGUACCAAAGGAAUCAGCCUCGGCUAACUCCGUGCCAGCAGCCGCGGUAAUACGGAGGAGGCAAGCGUUAUCCGGAAUGAUUGGGCGUAAAGCGUCCGCAGGUGGCGAUGCAAGUCUGCUGUCAAAACCCAGGGCUCAACUCUGGUCAGGCAGUGGAAACUACAAAGCUAGAGUCUGGUAGGGGCAAAGGGAAUUCCCAGUGUAGCGGUGAAAUGCGUAGAUAUUGGGAAGAACAUCGGUGGCGAAGGCGCGCUACUGGACCGAAACUGACACUCAGGGACGAAAGCUAGGGGAGCG